CCCCUCUAUCCUGGCUUCCUCAGGAAAAGCCUUGGGAGGAAGCAGGGAGGGGGUUGGGAGCUGUGGGGACCAGAUCAAACCAGGCCCUCCUACCAUGCUGGCCGCCAUGGGACUAGAGCUGGUGUUCUCACUGUUGCUGCUCUGGACUCAGGGGACCCAGGGAUCCACGCUAGACCCUGCUGGUCAGCACGUCUGUAAAGGCAGCAGCCCCUCUGAGCUCCAGUGUUGUCCCGGCUGGAGGCAGAAAGAUCAAGAAUGCACCAUCCCCAUCUGUGAGGGGCCUGAUGCCUGCAGGAAAGAAGAGGUGUGCGUGAAGCCGGGCCUCUGUCGGUGUAAACCUGGAUUCUUCGGAGCCCAGUGCAGCUCCCGCUGUCCAGGACAGUACUGGGGCCACGACUGUCGUGAGACCUGCCCCUGUCAUCCACGUGGCCAGUGCGAACCGGCCACGGGUGAUUGCCAAUGCCAGCCUAACUACUGGGGCAGGCUCUGUGAGUUCCCCUGCACCUGCGGCCCCCACGGACAGUGCGACCCAAAGACAGGCUUGUGCCACUGUGACCCUGGCUGGUGGUCACCCACGUGUCGUCGCCCAUGCCAGUGCAACCCAGCCUCACGCUGUGACCAGGCCACUGGAACCUGUGUAUGCCCGCCGGGCUGGUGGGGCCGCCGCUGCAGCUUCAGUUGCAACUGCCACACCUCGCCCUGCAUGCAGGACUCCGGCCGCUGCGUCUGCCUGCCGGGCUGGUGGGGUCCGGAGUGCAGUCGUAAGUGCCAGUGUGUGCGAGGCCAAUGCAGCGUUACUUCUGGCCACUGUUCCUGCCCUCCUGGCUUCCAUGGAAUCCGCUGUGAGCUGCCUUGCAACCCUGGCCACUAUGGGGCACAGUGCAAAGAAAGCUGUGGCCACUGUGAGCUGAAUGCCACAUGCUCUCCAGUCACCGGCAACUGUGAGUCCUGCAAGCCAGGCUGGAACGGUACUCAGUGCAAGCAGCCAUGUCCUGCAGGCACCUUUGGUGAGAGGUGCACUGGGCAGUGCCCCCGCUGCCGGCUUGGGGAGCCCUGUCAAGCGGAAACUGGGCACUGCCAGCACUGCGACCCCGGUUGGCUGGGGCACAGGUGUGAGAACCCUUGUCCCCUUGGCACCUUUGGGAAGGGCUGCAGCUCAACCUGCCCUGCCUGUGCUCAGGGGACUUGCGAUGCCGUGACUGGGGAAUGUGUCUGCAGUGCUGGCUACUGGGGGACCAGCUGCAACAGUUCCUGCCCAGCUGGCUUCCACGGAAACAACUGCUCUAUGCCCUGCCAAUGCCCAGAGGGGCUCUGCCACCCUGUGUCUGGGACCUGCCAGCUGGGCCGUCAUGGUAAGAACGCCCUCAUUGUGGGCAUCCUGGUACCUCUGCUGCUGCUCCUCAUGGGCAUCGUCUGCUGUGCCUACUGCUGCUCAGGAACCCGACUGGACCCCAAGGACAGAUUUUGGACUCCAUGUUUUGGAUUUUAUUCUGUCAUCAAUAUGCAAAGCCGCCGAAGUAGAUGUGGGCACCUGAAACAUCCUGCCAGUCUGACAUGGAUUCCCUUAGGUCUUGUACACUGAUCACCCUCUCUUUGCCACACUCUCAGGCCUGAGAGAAAUGGGGCUGCCUUUUUCAGAAUGAAGCAGCAGGUAUGGGGGGCCCUCACCAACUUGGGCUCGGCACUGCCCUGUGGCUCCCUCAGUAACUACAAGCUACCCUGGGUGACAGGUAAGUGGGCACUGGGAAUCAGGGACAGGAGUCUAGGGCUAAGGUGGGACAAGGCUUCCCAUGAGGCCCCAUGCCUGACCUGAACCCCCUGCAGUUUCUCAUCACGAUCCAGAGGUCCCCUUCAACCAUAGCUUCAUCGAGCCCCCCUCUGCCGGCUGGGCCUCUGACGACUCCUUCUCUUCUGAUCCUGACUCUGGAGAAGAGGACGAAGCUCAUGCCUACUUCGUGCCGCCUCGAGAAGAGAUGGUCCCUAUGGCCCAAGAAGAGUCACCAGAAGCCAGCCUUCCUGGAGGCUCCUUCCCUCCCCCUGAGGAUGCCUCCACACCAUUCCCCAUUCCACGUACCUCCAGCCUGGCUAGGGCCAAGAGGCCAUCCGUCUCCUUUGCUGAAGGCACGAAGUUUGCACCACAGAAUGGCCGAAGCUCUGGGGAUCUCUCCAGCCCCAUACGAAAACCCAAGAGACUCUCCAGAGGUGCUCAACCCCGUCCUGAAGGGCAGGAGGCGGAGGAGUCUACAGGCCCAGAGCAAGUGAACACAGAGGAGGAUGCUCCUACGGCCACAAGCUCUGGAGAUCCUGCCACUAGUCACGGCCAACUUCCACCUGGUAGCCAGAUGGUAGCUGAGUGUGCGGAGACCACUGAUGGAGGCAUCCAGGAGAGCUCAGGAUCUGUGGCCACUAUCUAUAUGCUGGCAGGGACACCUCAGAAACCUGAGGGUCCUGUCUGGUCUGUCUUUCGUCGUUUGGGAAACUACCAGAAAGAUCAGAUGGAUCCCAAAGUAAAGAGUGCUAUCCCUAAGCCUCUGCGCCGAUCUCUGGGUCGGAACCAGGCCAGCGCUGGCUCAGCUCCAGGUGCUGUGCUCUCCCAGGCCAUGGAGUCCACCGCAGUUAGACCAGAGGAAACACCCAGAGGUCUGGGAGAUGGCAUUGAGAGCUCAGGGACUGUCCAGGAGCCAGACGCUGGAGGCAGUUCCCUGGAACAGGAUUCCCAGAAGCAGGCGGAAGAGAAGGAGCAAGAGGAGCCCCUGUAUGAGAAUGUUGUGCCCAUGUCCGUGCCGCCACAGCACUGAGGACCUUGGUGAGUUCCCGGGAAGCCUGUGGAUGGGGAUGCAGGGAGAGCGGGAUGCUGAAGCUGCUGUGGACCAGAUUGGGCUUUGUGCCUGAAAAUGAUGCCAUAGCUGUGACAGACUAAACAGAAACUCUGCCGUGAAAGAGGCAAGGGUUAGAGGCCAGCUGGUUGUGGGUCUGGCCCUAGGUGGGAUUGGAAGGCCUGAGCGGAGACCAAGGUCAGAGGAAGGAGGAGACGGCGACAGGGCUUUUCCUCCAUUGUUCUGAAUUCUGUCCUGAGACUAUUCUUUUCCAUCUCUUCAAAACAUUUUUUUUUUCUGAACUGGAAAACAACCUAAAUGUUUGAUGAUAAAGAUUGAUUAAACAAAUAUUUCUUUUAGAAAAUUAA